UCAUCAGCACACAUCGUCAUUUUGCUAAGAGUCUCCGUGAGCUCCCUGGCUGUAGGUGCUGAUGUGUAGAGUCUGCAGUCAUCAGCAUACAUCGUCAUUUUGCUAAGAGUCUCCGUGAGCUCCCUGGCUGUAGGUGCUGAUGUGUAGAGUCUGCAGUCAUCAGCAUACAUCGUCAUUUUGCUAAGAGUCUCCGUGAGCUCCCUGGCUGUAGGUGCUGAUGUGUAGAGUCUGCAGUCAUCAGCACACAUCGUCAUUUUGCUAAGAGUCUCCGUGAGCUCCCUGGCUGUAGGUGCUGAUGUGUAGAGUCUGCAGUCAUCAGCACACAUCGUCAUUUUGCUAAGAGUCUCCGUGAGCUCCCUGGCUGUAGGUGCUGAUGUGUAGAGUCUGCAGUCAUCAGCAUACAUCGUCAUUUUGCUAAGAGUCUCCGUGAGCUCCCUGGCUGUAGGUGCUGAUGUGUAGAGUCUGCAGUCAUCAGCAUACAUCGUCAUUUUAGCUUCUUGUAAGACAAAUGGCAAAUCAUUUGUAAAAAUAGAGAAGAGUAAGGUGUGUUGGUUUGACGGCAUGUUGAGGGUUUCACACUCUGUGGGGUUAUAUUUACUUUACCACCUACUGUUAGUGCUUUCAUAAGAUGGCUGAGAGACCAUCAAUUAAAAUGUUAUAAUGUAGAAUGUUUUGCCAAUGUUAUAGGUAGAGUUUUCAUGUUGUAAUUCAAUAGGUAGAGUUAAUGUUUUAAUUCAAUUGUAAUUAAAAUUGAACGCAUGUGUGCAUAGUUAAUACAUGCCAAUGUAUUUUUGUUUUUAAUGAGAAUAAAUACGAAGCUCCUAUGAA